rnacentral:misc_RNA from 1 species
GAUGAAGAACGCAGCGAAAUGCGAUAAGUAAUGUGAAUUGCAGAAUUCAGUGAAUCAUCGAAUCUUUGAACGCACAUUGCGCCCGCCAGUAUUCUGGCGGGCAUGCCUGUCCGAGCGUCAUUUCAACCCUCGAACCCCUCCGGGGGGUCGGCGUUGGGGACCUCGGGAGCCCCUAAGACGGGAUCCCGGCCCCGAAAUACAGUGGCGGUCUCGCCGCAGCCUCUCCUGCGCAGUAGUUUGCACAACUCGCACCGGGAGCGCGGCGCGUCCACGUCCGUAAAACACCCAACUUCUGAAAUGUUGACCUCGGAUCAGGUAGGAAUACCCGCUGAACUUAAGCAUAUCAAUAGCGGAGGA